rnacentral:lncRNA from 1 species
ACCUGGCUCUCCUCCACUGGGCCACUUUGCUGCCCCCCCCCCCCCCCCCCGCGCGCCCCCUGCUUUAGGAAAAUUACUUCAGUAGCUGAAUUUGGAUCGCAUGAAUUGGAGCGGGGAGAGGCCCGAGGCGGUCAAGCCUCCCAAGCAGCUCUUUCAGUGGUCCAGGUGUCAGGUGAUGCGGGCCAGCACCCAGUGUGUGUACCGAUUGGACCGCUAAGGAAUGGGGCGCCUCAGUGGACACUAAAUGGUUUCUUGGAAGGAUCUCGCCUAAAGCCUGGAUCUCAUCCCGAGCCUGGCCCAGGACGCAGCCCGCAGGGCUCAGUUCCGCUCCAGCCUUACUACUGACCUCGCCCUAAAGGAGCUGCGCCUGAGGCCUGAGCGGGAGGGUUCGAAUCCCUAUCUGGGGAUCUAUCUAGUCUAUCUGGACUACAGAUGUGUAAACAGGGACAACGCUUUGGGGCAGGGAACUGAGGUGUAGAAAAUGGCCAGGGGGCAGUGGAUGAAGAGGCAGGCCUAGAGAUGGGAGGUCCAGGUUCAAAUGUGACCUCUGACACUUUCCAGCUGUGUGACCCUGGGCAAGUCACUUAACCCACAUUGCCUAGCCCUUCCAGCUCUUCUGCCUUGGAACCAAUCCAUAAUAUUGAUUCUGAUGGAAGAUAGGGUUUAAAAAAAUGAGGGAUGAGGGACAGCUAGGUGGCUCAGAGGAUAGAGAACCAGGCCCAUAGAGGGGAGGUCUUGGGUUCAAAUCUGACCUCAGACACUUCCUAGCUGUGUGACCUUGGUCAAGUCACUUAACUCCCAUUGCCUAGCCCUUAACACUAUACACAGUUUUGACUCUGAACAAAGGUCAGCGUUUUUUACAAAAUGAAGGACAAAUAACAACAACAGGCCCCCGGAAGUGCUGACUGUGCUGGUUAGUUUUGCUUGUUCCUCUAUUGCAAGGGAAGAUUCAAAGUAGGGUUUUGGGGGCUAGAUGGAGUGGAAAAGAUAAGAAAGUAACUGAUUCAUAAAAGAGCAGAAGUGGAUAGAGUGAUGGGUCUGGAGUCAGGAAGAUCCUAGAUUCAGACAUUUACCAGGUGUGUGGUCCUGGACAAGCAACUUAGCCUUUGUCUGCCUCAGUCAUCUCAUCUGUCAAAUGGGGAUAAUAAUAGCAACUACUUUCCAGGUUGUAAUUAGAUCAUAUCUGCCAAGCUCUUGGCAAACCUUAAAAUGUGAUAUGAAUACUAGCUAUUAUUCUGGUCUUGUCAUUAUAAAUAAUAAAAUAAUAUACUUACCUGUUUACA